UACGAAGGGGGCUAGCGUUGCUCGGAAUCACUGGGCGUAAAGCGCACGUAGGCGGAUUGUUAAGUCAGGGGUGAAAUCCUGGAGCUCAACUCCAGAACUGCCUUUGAUACUGGCGAUCUUGAGUCCGGGAGAGGUGAGUGGAAUUGCGAGUGUAGAGGUGAAAUUCGUAGAUAUUCGCAAGAACACCAGUGGCGAAGGCGGCUCACUGGCCCGAUACUGACGCUGAGGCACGAAAGCGUGGGGAGCAAACAGG
rnacentral:rRNA from 1 species